rnacentral:rRNA from 1 species
UGGUUAAUCUUGGACAAUGGGCGCUCGUCUGUUCCAGCCAUGCCGCGUGCAGGAAGAAGCAUCUAUGGUGUGUAAACUGCUUUUGUACGGGAAGAAACGCUCCUUCGUGAAGGAGCUUGACGGUACCGUAAGAAUAAGGAUCGGCUAACUCCGUGCCAGCAGCCGCGGUAAUACGGAGGAUCCAAGCGUUAUCCGGAAUCAUUGGGUUUAAAGGGUCCGUAGGCGGUUUAAUAAGUCAGUGGUGAAAGCCCAUCGCUCAACGAUGGAACGGCCAUUGAUACUGUUAGACUUGAAUUACAAGGAAGUAACUAGAAUAUGUAGUGUAGCGGUGAAAUGCUUAGAUAUUACAUGGAAUACCAAUUGCGAAGGCAGGUUACUACUAAUGGAUUGACGCUGAUGGACGAAAGCGUGGGGAGCGAACA